rnacentral:rRNA from 1 species
GUAAGGAAUAUUGGUCAAUGGAGGCAACUCUGAACCAGCCAUGCCGCGUGCAGGAAGACAGCCCUCUGGGUCGUAAACUGCUUUUAUUCGGGAAUAAACCUACUUACGUGUAAGUAGCUGAAUGUACCGAAGGAAUAAGGAUCGGCUAACUCCGUGCCAGCAGCCGCGGUAAUACGGAGGAUCCAAGCGUUAUCCGGAUUUAUUGGGUUUAAAGGGUGCGUAGGCGGCCUGUUAAGUCAGGGGUGAAAGACGGUGGCUCAACCAUCGCAGUGCCCUUGAUACUGAUGGGCUUGAAUGAACUAGAGGUAGGCGGAAUGUGACAAGUAGCGGUGAAAUGCAUAGAUAUGUCACAGAACACCGAUUGCGAAGGCAGCUUACUAUGGUUUUAUUGACGCUGAGGCACGAAAGCGUGGGGAUCAAACAGGAUUAGAUACCCUGGUAGUCCACGCCCUAAACGAUGAAUACUCGCUGUUAGCGAUAUACAGUUAGCGGCUAAGCGAAAGCGUUAAGUAUUCCACCUGGGGAGUACGCCCGCAAGGG